rnacentral:rRNA from 1 species
UACGUAGGGUGCAAGCGUUGUCCGGAAUUAUUGGGCGUAAAGAGCUCGUAGGCGGUCUGUCGCGUCUGCUGUGAAACUCAGGGCUUAACCCUGAGCUUGCAGUGGGUACGGGCAGACUAGAGUGCGGUAGGGGAGACUGGAAUUCCUGGUGUAGCGGUGAAAUGCGCAGAUAUCAGGAGGGAACACCGGUGGGCGAAGGCGGGUCU